rnacentral:rRNA from 1 species
UACGUAGGGGGCAAGCGUUGUCCGGAUUUAUUGGGCGUAAAGAGCGUGUAGGCGGCUAGAUAGGUCCGUUGUGAAAACUCGAGGCUCAACCUCGAGACGUCGAUGGAAACCAUCUGGCUAGAGUCCGGAAGAGGAGAGUGGAAUUCCUGGUGUAGCGGUGAAAUGCGCAGAUAUCAGGAAGAACACCCGUGGCGAAAGGCGGCUCUCUGGAACGUACUGACGCUGAGACGCGAAAAGCGUGGGGGAGCA